AUUUUUCAAAAAUAGGAACUGGGGAGAAGGUUGGGGUUUCAUACCUUCUGACAGAGCACUUGUCUUUGUGGAUAACCAUGACAAUCAACGAGGACAUGGGGCUGGAGGAGCCUCUAUUCUUACCUUCUGGGAUGCUAGGCUGUACAAAAUGGCAGUUGGAUUUAUGCUUGCUCAUCCUUACGGAUUUACACGAGUAAUGUCAAGCUACCGUUGGCCAAGACAGUUUCAAAAUGGAAACGAUGUUAAUGAUUGGGUUGGGCCACCAAAUAAUAAUGGAGUAAUUAAAGAAGUUACUAUUAAUCCAGACACUACUUGUGGCAAUGACUGGGUCUGUGAACAUCGAUGGCGCCAAAUAAGGAACAUGGUUAAUUUCCGCAAUGUAGUGGAUGGCCAGCCUUUUACAAACUGGUAUGAUAAUGGGAGCAACCAAGUGGCUUUUGGGAGAGGAAACAGAGGAUUCAUUGUUUUCAACAAUGAUGACUGGUCAUUUUCUUUAACUUUGCAAACUGGUCUUCCUGCUGGCACAUACUGU
rnacentral:sRNA from 1 species